rnacentral:rRNA from 1 species
GCUCGCAAGAGUGAACGAGCUAACUGAAAGAAUAAGAAUCUAACGUAAGGUCACCUAUAUACUACUUACUAUCCUAUCUUUUCUUUAUAUUAUGAAAUUAUUUUAAAUUCUGGCAAUGUUAGUUGUUAUUGUAUUUUCUUUAUAAUCAAAUAGGUAUAUAGUAUAGAUAUAUGUAGGAAUAAUGAUAUACCCUUACUAAUAGUGUCGUCCAAAAUCCGGUGCCAGCAGACUCGGUAACACCAGAGACGCGAACGUUAAUCAUCUUGAAUGGGCAUAAAGGGUUUGUAGGCAACUUUAAUUUAUUAAAGAUAGAAUCUAAAAGAGGUUUAUAGAAUGCUUAGUGUAGGGCUCAAAUCCGCAAAUCCUAAGUGGACUACUAGAGGCGAAGGCGGUACUCCUUGAAAGAUUGACGCUGAUAAACGAGGGUUGGGAUAGGAAAUAGGAUCAGAGACCCUAGUACCCCCAACUGUAAACGAUGAAUGGAAGAUAUUUACAAGGUAAGUAAGUAUCGAAGUGAACUACGAUAACCAUUCCGCCUUGCAAGUAUACUUGCAAAAGUGAAAGCAAAAAAAUUAGUCGGUCCUAAAGCAAACG